UACGGGGGGGGCAAGCGUUGUUCGGAAUUACUGGGCGUAAAGGGUUCGUAGGUGGCCAACUAAGUCAGACGUGAAAUCCCUCAGCUUAACUGGGGAACUGCGUCUGAUACUGGUUGGCUUGAGUGCAGGAGAGGAACGCGGAAUUCCAGGUGUAGCGGUGAAAUGCGUAGAUAUCUGGAGGAACACCGGUGGCGAAGGCGGCGUUCUGGACUGCAACUGACACUGAGAAACGAAAGCCAGGGGAGCAAACGGG
rnacentral:rRNA from 1 species